AUAAUAAAGAUGGGGAGCUGACUGAAGUCGGCUGAGAGUAAACUGAUUGGUUUAGACCCUUGACCUGAUUUGGAUAAUGCCAACGUAGGAAAAGUUUCUAGUCAUAAAU
rnacentral:ncRNA from 2 species